GCCAGGUGUGAAGGCACACACCUGUAAUCCCAGUGGCUUGGGAGGCUGAGGCAGGAGGAUCAUGAGUUCAAAGCCAGCCUCAGCAAAAGCCUAAGCAACUCAGGGAGACCCUGUCUCUA
rnacentral:sRNA from 1 species